GCUGAUAUGGCUCAGUUGGUAGAGCGCACCCUUGGUAAGGGUGAGGUCCCCAGGAGCGCACCCUUGGUAAGGGUGAGGUCCCCAGUUCGACUCUGGGUAUCAGCACCA
rnacentral:tRNA from 1 species